rnacentral:rRNA from 1 species
GACGAACGCUGGCGGCGUGCUUAACACAUGCAAGUCGAACGGUGAAGCGCCUUCCUUUUUGGUGGGUGUGGAUGAGUGGCGAACGGGUGAGUAACACGUGAGUAACCUGCCCCCUUCUUCUGGAUAACCGCAUGAAAGUGUGGCUAAUACGGGAUAUUCUGGGUCUGUCGCAUGAUGGGUCUGGGAAAGAUAUUGUUUCGGUGGGGGAUGGGCUCGCGGCCUAUCAGCUUGUUGGUGGGGUGAUGGCCUACCAAGGCGGUGACGGGUAGCCGGCCUGGGGGGGUGGACGGUCACACUGGGACUGAGACACGGCCCAGACUCCUACGGGAGGCAGCAGUGGGGAAUAUUGCACAAUGGGCGCAAGCCUGAUGCAGCGACGCCGCGUGAGGGAUGGAGGCCUUCGGGUUGUGAACCUCUUUCGCCAGUGAAGCAGGCCUGCCUCGUUUGUGGGUGGGUUGACGGUAGCUGGAUAAGAAGCGCCGGCUAACUACGUG